rnacentral:rRNA from 1 species
AUUGAACGCUGGCGGCAGGCCUAACACAUGCAAGUCGAACGAGAAACCAGAGCUUGCUCUGGCGGAAAGUGGCAGACGGGUGAGUAACGCGUGGGAAUUUACCCAGUGGUACGGAAUAACUCAGGGAAACUUGUGCUAAUACCGUAUACGCCCUUCGGGGGAAAGAUUUAUCGCCAUUGGAUGAGCCCGCGUUAGAUUAGUUUGUUGGUGGGGUAAUGGCCUACCAAGACUACGAUCUAUAGCUGGUCUGAGAGGAUGAUCAGCCACACUGGGACUGAGACACGGCCCAGACUCCUACGGGAGGCAGCAGUGGGGAAUAUUGCACAAUGGGCGCAAGCCUGAUGCAGCCAUGCCGCGUGAGUGAAGAAGGCCUUAGGGUUGUAAAACUCUUUCACCGGUGAAGAUAAUGACGGUAGCCGGAGAAGAAGCCCCGGCUAACUCCGUG